UACGAAGGGGGCUAGCGUUGUUCGGAAUUACUGGGCGUAAAGCGCACGUAGGCGGACUAUUAAGUCAGGGGUGAAAUCCCGGGGCUCAACCCCGGAACUGCCUUUGAUACUGGUGAGCUUGAGUCCGGAAGAGGUGAGUGGAACUGCGAGUGUAGAGGUGAAAUUCGUAGAUAUUCGCAAGAACACCAGUGGCGAAGGCGGCUUACUGGUCCGGUUCUGACGCUGAGGCGCGAAAGCCAGGGGAGCAAACGGGG
rnacentral:rRNA from 1 species